AACAACUGCAAGAAGAAACAUGUUCCAAAAAAUGAAAUUUGCUAUUCUCGCUCUUUCUGCUCUCGCCAUAGUGGCGUUUUAUAUUGCGCCCUCUGAAGCGGCUCGAUCCCGCAGGAACACUGGUCCGCAAUUCAUAGCUAGCAGAGGUUGAUGGUACAUAUUAUCACGAUAUACAAAUAUGCGACCCCUUAUAACUAUAACAAUUGCCACUAUGUAGCCUCACAGAUAAGAAAAUAAAUUACACUUGAACCUCGUAAA